rnacentral:rRNA from 1 species
ACGAACGCUGGCGGCAUGCCUAACACAUGCACGUCGAACGAGACCUUCGGGUCUAGUGGCGCACGGGUGCGUAACGCGUGGGAACCUGCCCUUAGGUUCGGAAUAACUCCCCGAAAGGGGUGCUAAUACCGGAUAAUGUCUUCGGACCAAAGAUUUAUCGCCUUUGGAUGGGCCCGCGUUGGAUUAGCUAGUUGGUAGGGUAAAAGCCUACCAAGGCGACGAUCCAUAGCUGGUCUGAGAGGAUGAUCAGCCACACUGGGACUGAGACACGGCCCAGACUCCUACGGGAGGCAGCAGUGGGGAAUAUUGGACAAUGGGCGAAAGCCUGAUCCAGCAAUGCCGCGUGAGUGAUGAAGGCCUUAGGGUUGAAAAGCUCUUUUACCCGGGAUGAUAAUGACAGUACCGGGAGAAUAAGCUCCGGCUAACUCCGUG